rnacentral:rRNA from 1 species
AGUUUGAUCAUGGCUCAGAACGAACGCUGGCGGCAGGCCUAACACAUGCAAGUCGAACGAUACAGUGGCAGACGGGUGAGUAACGCGUGGGAACGUACCUUUCGCUAUGGAAUAGCUCCGGGAAACUGGUGGUAAUACCAUAUACGCCCUUAGGGGGAAAGAUUUAUCGGCGAAAGAUCGGCCCGCGUUGGAUUAGCUAGUUGGUGAGGUAAUGGCUCACAAAGGCGACGAUCCAUAGCUGGUCUGAGAGGAUGAUCAGCCACACUGGGACUGAGACACGACCCAGACUCCUACGGGAGGCAGCAGUGGGGAAUCUUGCACAAUGGGCGAAAGCCUGAUGCAGCCAUGCCGCGUGAAUGAUGAAGGCCUUAGGGUUGUAAAAUUCUUUCGUCAGGGAUGAUAAUGACCGUACCUGAAGAAGAAGCCCCGGCUAACUUCGUGCCAGCAGCCGCGGUAAUACGAAGGGGGCUAGCGUUGUUCGGAAUUACUGGGCGUAAAGCGCACGUAGGCGGACUUUUAAGUCAGGUGUGAAAUCCCGGGGCUCAACCUCGGAACUGCAUUUGAAACUGGGAGUCUUGAGACCAGGAGAGGUUAGCGGAAUACCGAGUGUAGAGGUGAAAUUCGUAGAUAUUCGGUGGAACACCAGUGGCGAAGGCGGCUAACUGGACUGGUACUGACGCUGAGGUGCGAAAGUGUGGGGAGCAAACAGGAUUAGAUACCCUGGUAGUCCACACCGUAAACGA